rnacentral:misc_RNA from 1 species
AAAUGCGAUAAGUAAUGUGAAUUGCAGAAUUCAGUGAAUCAUCGAAUCUUUGAACGCACAUUGUGCCCGCCAGUAUUCUGGCGGGCAUGCCUGUUCGAGCGUCAUUACAACCCUCAGGCCCCCGGGCCUGGCGUUGGGGAUCGGCGGAAGCCCCCUGCGGGCACAACGCCGUCCCCCAAAUACAGUGGCGGUCCCGCCGCAGCUUCCAUUGCGUAGUAGCUAACACCUCGCAACUGGAGAGCGGCGCGGCCACGCCGUAAAACACCCAACUUCUGAAUGUUGACCUCGAAUCAGGUAGGAAUACCCGCUGAACUUAAGC